rnacentral:rRNA from 1 species
GAGUUUGAUCCUGGCUCAGAGCGAACGCUGGCGGCAGGCCUAACACAUGCAAGUCGAACGGAUCCUUCGGGAUUAGUGGCGGACGGGUGAGUAACACGUGGGGAACGUGCCCUUUGGUUCGGGACAACUCAGGGAAACUUGAGCUAAUACCGGAUGUGCCCUUCGGGGGAAAGAUUUAUCGCCAUUGGAGCGGCCCGCGUCUGAUUAGCUUGUUGGUGAGGUAAAGGCUCACCAAGGCUACGAUCAGUAGCUGGUCUGAGAGGAUGAUCAGCCACAUUGGGACUGAGACACGGCCCAAACUCCUACGGGAGGCAGCAGUGGGGAAUCUUGCGUAAUGGGCGAAAGCCUGACGCAGCCAUGCCGCGUGAAUGAUGAAGGUCUUAGGGUUGUAAAAUUCUUUCAGCAGGGACGAUAAUGACGGUACCUGCAGAAGAAGCCCCGGCUAACUUCGUGCCAGCAGCCGCCGUAAC